UCGACYUGAGCUCAGGCAAGAACACCCGCUGAAC
rnacentral:rRNA from 1 species